UAGAAUGCUGGCGGGGUGCCUAAUACAUGCAAGUCGAGCGAAUGGAUUAAGAGCUUGCUCUUAUGAAGUUAGCGGCGGAGGGGUGAGUAACACGUGGGUAACCUGCCCAUAAGAGUGGGAUAACUCCGGGAAACCGGGGCUAAUACCGGAUAACAUUUUGAACCGCGGGGUUCGAAAUUGAAAGGGGGCUUCCGCUGUCACUUAUGGAUGGACCCGCCUCACAUUAGCUAGUUGGUGAGGUAACGGCUCACCAGGGCAACGAUGCGUAGCCCACCUGAGAGGGUGAUCGGCCACACUGGGACUGACACACGGCCCACACUCCUACGGGAGGCAGCAGUGGGGAAUCUUCCACAGUGGACAAAAGUCUGACGGAACAACGCCGCGUGAGUGAAGAAGGCUUUCGGGUCGUAAAACUCUGUUGUUAGGGAAAAACAUGUGCUAGUUGAAUAACCUGGCACCUUGGCGGUACCUAACAAAAAAGCCGCGGCUAACUACGUGCCAGCCGCCGCGGUAAUACGUAGGUGGCAAGCGUUAUCCGGUAUUAUUGGGCGUAAAGCCCGCGCAGGUGGUUUCUUAAUUCUGAUGUGAAACCCCACGGCUCACCCGUGGAGGGUCAUUGAAUACUGGAAUACUUGAGUGCAAAGAGGAAAGUGUAAUUCCUUGUGUAGCGAUAAACUGCGUAUGUUGUGGAGGACACCAGGGGCAGAGGCUUCUUUCUGGUCUGUAGCUGACCUGAGGCGCAAAGCGGGGGAGCAACAGAUUAA
rnacentral:rRNA from 1 species